rnacentral:rRNA from 1 species
AGAGUUUGAUCNUGGCUCAGGAUGAACGCUAGCGGCAAGCUUAAUACAUGCAAGUCGUGGGGCAGCAUGAAGUAGCAAUACUUUGAUGGCGACCGGCAAACGGGUGCGGAACACGUACACAACCUCCCGAUAAGUGGGGAAUAGCCCAGAGAAAUUUGGAUUAAUACCCCGUAACAUUGCGAUGUGGCAUCACAUUGCAAUUAUAGCUUCGGCGCUUAUUGAUGGGUGUGCGUAUGAUUAGAUAGUUGGCGAGGUAACGGCUCACCAAGUCUACGAUCAUUAGCUGAUGUGAGAGCAUGAUCAGCCACACGGGCACUGAGACACGGGCCCGACUCCUACGGGAGGCAGCAGUAAGGAAUAUUGGUCAAUGGACGAAAGUCUGAACCAGCUAUGCCGCGUGAAGGAUUAAGGUCCUCUGGAUUGUAAACUUCUUUUAUAUGGGACGAAAAAAGGUCUUUCUAGAUCACUUGACGGUACCAUAUGAAUAAGCACCGGCUAACUCCGUGCCAGCAGCCGCGGUAAUACGGAGGGUGCAAGCGUUAUCCGGAUUCACUGGGUUUAAAGGGUGCGUAGGCGGGCAGGUAAGUCAGUGGUGAAAUCCUGGAGCUCAACUCCAGAACUGCCAUUGAUACUAUCUGUCUUGAAUAUUGUGGAGGUAAGCGGAAUAUGUCAUGUAGCGGUGAAAUGCUUAGAUAUGACAUAGAACACCUAUUGCGAAGGCAGCUUACUACGCAUAUAUUGACGCUGAGGCACGAAAGCGUGGGGAUCAAACAGGAUUAGAUACCCUGGUAGUCCACGCCCUAAACGAUGGAUACUCGACAUUUG